AUCCCAAUAACACAUCCAAAGAGCCAGAGCAAAGCUCUCAUCGGCCAUUGCCCAAAAUUAUAAUAUUCACUCUGUUUGUCGGCAGAGCUUUGGGGGCAAUGGCGGCCAUGAACACCUCCGAUGGACUAUCCACCGUCACCGUAACCUCCUCUCCAACCACCACCACCACAUCCCCCACCGCAUUCAUAGUCCUCCUCCUUGCCCUUCUCAUUUCCACCAUCAGCAUUGUCUUCAACAACAUCA
rnacentral:lncRNA from 1 species